AGCCCUGCCCUAGACGCCGCCGUCCCUGAUCCUCUCCUGCCGCCGCGCUCUCUCUCUCGCUCUCUCUCGUGCCCAAGCGAUCACUCAUUUUUCAGCUUUAUGAUCGGCAUUGGCUGCUUGUAGUCGCCAUCGCAGCGAAGAACUUUCUAUUCGGUUGCAGGAGAAGGCGAUAAAAAGUAGGAGAUGCCUUAUAGCGCGCGGCCGAUGAUGUCGCUUCUGGCGUUCACGGGGUUGAAUUUGGUCCUCGUCAACACCAUCUCUCCAGUCUACGACUUUGUCUGCUUUCUUCCCUAUUGGGAACGUCGGAGGGAACGACGGCUAAAGGAGCGUGAGGAUGCUCUCCCAAAAGUUUCUCAAGAAACCUAGUUUCUUCUUGAUUUGGAAUGUGAAGAGAACUUGCAUGCAAGUUUUAAAGAUUGAACUCCUUGGAAGAGGCCUCUGUUCAUGCCUAAAUCUGAGGAGCAUUUGUAACUAUCGACAUCGAUUCCUAUUUGGCGGUUCUAAUUCUUGAAUUAGGGCAAAAUGUUAAGUAGGUUAAUCCAGAAGCACACCGUUUCAAGUCUCUGUCAGAAGUGUAACACAAUAAACUUUACAUUAAGAUUGAAUUCUUAUAA